rnacentral:rRNA from 1 species
AGUAUAAGCAAUUAUACCGCGAAACUGCGAAUGGCUCAUUAAAUCAGUUAUCGUUUAUUUGAUAGUUCCCUACUACUUGGAUAACCGUGGUAAUUCUAGAGCUAAUACAUGCAAAAAACCGCGACUUCGGAAGCGGUGUAUUUAUUAGAUUAAAGACCAAUGCCCUUCGGGGCUGACUGGUGAUUCAUGAUAACUUCUCGAAUCGCACGGCCUUGCGCCGGCGAUGGUUCAUUCAAAUUUCUGCCCUAUCAACUUUCGACUUUAGCGUAGUGGGCUAAAGUGGUUACAACGGGUAACGGAGGGUUAGGGCUCGACCCCGGAGAAGGAGCCUGAGAGACGGCUACUACAUCCAAGGAAGGCAGCAGGCGCGCAAAUUACCCAAUCCCGACACGGGGAGGUAGUGACAAUAAAUACUGAUACAGGGCUCUUUUGGGUCUUGUAAUUGGAAUGAGUACAAUUUAAAUCCCUUAACGAGGAACAAUUGGAGGGCAAGUCUGGUGCCAGCAGCCGCGGUAAUUCCAGCUCCAAUAGCGUAUAUUAAAGUUGUUGUGGUUAAAAAGCUCGUAGUUGAACCUGGGCCUCGCGCAGACCGGUCCGCCUCACCGCGUGCACUGGUCCUGCCGGGGCUUUCACUAGGGGAUUCGCAUGCCCUUCACUGGGCGUGCGCGGAACCUGGACCUUUACUGUGAAAAAAUUAGAGUGUUCAAAGCAGGCCUAUGCUCGAAUACAUUAGCAUGGAAUAAUAGAAUAGGACGUGUGGUUCUAUUUUGUUGGUUAUGGGACCGCCGUAAUGAUUAAUAGGGACAGUCGGGGGCAUCAGUAUUCAAUUGUCAGAGGUGAAAUUCUUGGAUUUAUUGAAGACUAACUACUGCGAAAGCAUUUGCCAAGGAUGUUUUCAUUAAUCAGGAACGAAAGUUAGGGGAUCGAAGACGAUCAGAUACCGUCGUAGUCUUAACCAUAAACUAUGCCGACUAGGGAUCGGGCGAUGUUACUUUUUGACUCGCUCGGCACCUUACGAGAAAUCAAAGUUUGUGGGUUCCUGGGGGAAUAUGGUGGCAACGCUGAAACUUAAAGAAAUUGACGGAAGGGC